UGAGGGCUCCCAGUGCGCAGGCGCCACCUGUCAGCAACCGCCUCUCCCCUCCGCGCGCGCCGCCGCUUCGUUUUAACCCUUGGUUUGCCGGAAGCUGGCAGUGUGCGUGCACCUCGGGCCCCCGCCCCCGUCCUGCGUUUUCUUCCUCGCGCUGAGACGGGUCGGGGUGCUGGAGGUCGGGGCAAGUUUGGGAGGGAAGGCGAAGAGGCCGAAAGCAGCCAGCCGAUACUGGCCUUGUAUUACUUACCCAUACCAUUUGGUGAUAUUUUUAAUGGACCAUGGACCAGACAAGUGAAUCAACAUCCCAAGAGGAAUCCAAACCUGCUCAGGAAAAUGGAAAAGAAGCCAAAGAAAAACAGGACUCAACUGAAGUGGAAGAGCCUAUUGAGAGUUCACAGACUGUGCCAGAUGUCUCUACAACAGAGACCAGCAACCAUGUGGUGGAAAAUGCAAAAAAUGAAAUAAAAUCCCAAGAAUUAAAUUUAGAGGAACAGCUGAAAACUUCAAAAGGUUUGACAAUGAACUUGAACACUGAAGUCCCAGGGAAUAUGAUAAUUAGAAAACCUGCAAGAGUAACUUUUAAUUUAGAUGAAAUUAAACUGAAACCAAAGCUAGAACAACCAUGGAAGAAAAAUCUUUUUUUAAGAAUGGAGGCAAGAGCCCAGGCAAUGCAGCAGAAAAUAAUAGAUAAGGAUAAUCUGAAGAAAGAAUUAGACAAAAAGUCUGAAAAAAAACUGCCUAGAGAUAAUUUGGCUAAAGAGUGGUUUAAUACUGAAAACACAGCACUGAGUACUCGUGCAUAUUUGCUUGACAAACUUCUACCCACCUUAGUUCCUGGAAUGGAAAAAAUGUUGACAAAACGAGAAAAGAAGCUUUUGACCAAAGCUGAUAGUCCAACCAAGUUUGAUCCAGUUAAUCAUUUGGGAGAAUGUUUAAUGAGAAAUAAUCCUAAUUAUAUCAAAGACCCAGGAAUGUCUGAAUACCAGAGGGUGAUGAGAGAUGUCACAGAAGAACUGAAGAUAUAUGUUCCUGACACUAUUUGCAACAGAUUCAAAAUAUCCUUCAUGAAUUUUUUCAAAAGCCAGAUUUUGAGCUUGUACAUCUCUUCAUGGGUUGCAGACCUUAAAAGUGAAAUUUUUGAGGAACUCCUUAAGCACCUUUGCCACUAUGCCGAUGAAUUCUGGGAGAUCAUAAAAACUGACAUGCAGAGACAGAUUUUUGUAGAACUUUUCCUACAUUGUGACCAUGGGAAGGUAGGGAUUUUGGAUCGGCAGAGGACAUUGGCCUUGCUGGAACAGUUCUAUGACCAAAGUUCACAAAUGCUUAGGAGUUUACUCCGAAACCCAAGGCAAUGGCCAUUCAUUGAGUUUGAAGAGAUAGACUUGACCGAGUUCUGGGGAAACAUGGAUAAUCAGAAAAACAUUUAUGAAGACUUUGAUAAAGUGCUAUUAAAGAUGAAUGAAUUACUUUCUGAAAAACAUGAUAAUAAAACUGAAAGUAAUUUAUUAGAAAAUCAAAAAGAUCAACCAAAAUAUGAUGAACAGAGAACAUCAAUAGCACCACCACAUCCACCAAAACAGCAGAGGGAAAAACCUGCAGAUCUAGGAUCACAAAGAAUUUCAAAUGAAGAACAAGUCAGAGAGCCAAGUAGAGAGCAAAAAUUGUAUAUAGAAGCAGUGAUAGAAGAGGGAGCCAUCACAGAGUCAAAUCAAGAACAAGGAUCAAGUAGAGAAUUAAUAGUAGAACAAAGACCACAGAGAGGGUCAACUGCAGAGCAAGGAUCACACAAAGCAUCAACUGCAGAACAAAUAUCACACAGAGGGUCAACUGCAGAGCAAGUGUCACACAGAGAGUCAGUGAUGGAGCAAGGACCACAUAAAGUGUCAACUGCAGAGCAAAGAUCACGCAGAGAGUCAAGGACAGAACAAAGAUCACACAGAGGGUCAACCGCAGAGCAAGGGUCACAGAGAAAGUCAACAGUAGAACAAAGAUCACACAGAGGGUCAAUUGCAGAGCAAGGAUCACAUAAAGAGUCAACGAUAGAACAUAGAUCACACAGAGGGUCAACCACAGAGCAAGGGUCACGCAGAGAGUCAAUGAUAGAACAAAGAUCACACAGAGGGUCAACUGCAGAGCAAGAGUCACACAGAGAGUCAGUGAUGGAGCAAGGACCACACAGAAGGUCAACUGCAGAGCAAAGGUCAUGCAGAGAGUCAAUGAUAGAACCGCACAGAGUCAGAGCAAAGACUACACAGAGAGAUAACUUCAGAACAACAGGACAGAGACUCAACUUCAUAAUCAGAAAAAGAAAUGGCAAGAAAAGAUGUUCAGAAAGACAAAUCCUGUGAACCCAAGUCCCCCCAGAGAGAAGGAAAGUCAUGGUCAGGUUAGACAAAAUGCUUUCCAAAUACGACAGGAACUUCUCUUAAAAGCCCUCUUACAGAAGUGGGACAGUGAUGGCUCAGGCUUCCUGGAUCUGGAGGAAGUUGAUAAACUCUUAUACACAUACAAGCAUGGCAUGGAAAAAGAAUCUAUGAAGAAAG
rnacentral:lncRNA from 1 species